UUUCCGUAGGUGAACCUGCGGAAGGAUCAUUCAUAAUAGGUGUUUUACUGCACUUUUUGAAAAUAGUACUCACCUUGUGUGCAAUGUUGUGUUUCUUUUCGGAGAAACACCUACACCAACCUAUAACCUUGAACCACUUUGUCUGAAAAACUAUUAUGAAUACUUAAUUCAAAAUACAACUUUCAACAACGGAUCUCUUGGCUCUC
rnacentral:misc_RNA from 1 species